AGAUUAUAUGAAAUAACCAAGACUUUAAGAAAACCUCAUCACACAGUUAAACUGACCAGGGGGUGUGAAGAUGAUUUGUUGGUUUGGCAAAGCUUUUUAGAACAUUUCAAUGGGAAAUGUUUCUUUAUCGAUCAAAAGAUGGUUUCAAACGAUGUAUUUCAGUUGUACACUGAUGCUUCGGGGACUUAUGGAUAUGGGGCAGUUUUUGGAAAGUCUUGGUUUUAUGGGGAAUGGAAUGAGCAAUGGUUAAGUCAAAACAUAACUGUGAAGGAGUUGUUUCCUAUUGUCUUG
rnacentral:lncRNA from 1 species